UCUCACCCUUUCCGAGGCGGGAUGAGCCUGAAUCCCGACCACUCCCCCAUCAGUGAGACAUUUGGGGGUAAGCGGGACAACCCCUCCUCAGUCCUUACACCCACCCACCCACCUUGCCUUUGCCGGGCCAUAUAUAUACUAGGAGAGACGCACAAUCUCUCCUCUUUCUUUUUACUGGGCAGGGGAAACGGGUGAAUGGUGUUGUGCCGGCGGGUGGGUAAGCGCAACGACUUUUGGUUGCGUGCCACUCAUGAGCAUUACGGCACCCAUUCCUGGUUCUUUUGACUGUUCUCCACCAGCGGCGGAGAGAAAAGCGAGAAGCUUUUCCUUUUGUCGAUCCUGAGGAGCCAUGGCCGAGCGCCGCGCCUUCGCCCAAAAGAUCAGCAGAACUGUGGCAGCUGAAGUUCGGAAGCAGAUUUCAGGACAAUAUGGUGGAUCGCCGCAACUUCUCAAGAACCUUAAUAUUGGGGGCAGCAUUUCCCAUCAUACAACUGUGCCUCUUACUGAACCUGUGGAUCCAGUGGAUUUGGAAGAUUACCUUCUUACACAUCCAGUUGCAGUGGAUUCCGGUCGUUUGAGAGACUUGCUUGAAUUUCCUUCCGAUGAUAUUGAGGUUAUCUACAGUCCUCGAGAAUGCAGGACACUUGUGUCAGCGGUACCUGAAGAGAGUGAAAUGGACCCUCAUGUGAGGGAUUGUGUAAGAAGUUACACUGAAGAUUGGGCCAUUGUGAACAGAAAAUAUCACAAACUGGGCACAGGAUUUAACCCCAACACGUUAGACAAGCAGAAGGAGAGGCAGAAAGGCCUACCCAAGCAGAUCUUCGAGUCUGAUGAAGCUCCUGAUGGCAACAGUUACCAAGAUGAACAGGAUGAUCUUAAAAGACGGUCCAUGUCCAUUGAUGAUACGCCACGGGGCAGCUGGGCUUGUAGUAUUUUUGACUUGAAAAACUCCCUCCCAGACGCUUUGCUUCCAAAUCUUCUGGAUCGAACCCCAAAUGAAGAAAUUGACCAUCAAAAUGAUGAUCAGAGAAAGUCCAGCAGACAUAAGGAACUUUUUGCAUUGCAUCCAGCUCCAGAUGAGGAAGAACCAAUAGAAAGGCUGGGCAUCCCUGAAAUCCCCAAGGAACACUUUGGUCAGAGGCUUCUUGUGAAGUGUUUGUCUUUAAAAUUUGAAAUUGAAAUAGAGCCAAUUUUUGCAAGUUUGGCAUUGUAUGAUGUUAAGGAAAAGAAAAAGAUUUCAGAGAACUUCUACUUUGAUUUAAACUCUGAACAAAUGAAAGGCAUUUUGCGUCCUCAUGUCCCACCUGCUGCCAUAACCACACUGGCCCGGUCAGCCAUUUUCUCUAUUACAUACCCCUCUCAGGAUGUCUUUCUGGUAAUAAAGCUGGAAAAAGUAUUACAACAGGGAGAUAUUGGGGAGUGUGCCGAGCCAUAUAUGAUUUUAAAAGAAGCAGAUGCUGCAAAGAACAAGGAAAAGCUAGAAAAACUGAAAAGCCAAUCAGAACAAUUUUGCCAAAGACUUGGCAAAUAUCGCAUGCCUUUUGCAUGGACGGCCAUUCAUUUAAUGAACAUAGUCAGCAGUGCUGGAAGCUUGGAGAGAGACUCUACAGAAGUUGAAAUUGCUGCAGGAGAACGCAAAGGAUCUUGGUCAGAGAGAAGGAAUUCUAGCAUCGUUGGCAGGCGUUCAUUGGAAAGAACCACUAGUGGGGAUGAGGCCUGCAACCUGACUAACUUUAGACCAGCUACCCUCACAGUGACUAACUUCUUUAAACAGGAAGGUGACCGUCUGAGUGAUGAAGACCUGUACAAGUUUCUUGCAGAUAUGAGAAGGCCAUCUUCUGUUCUACGGAGACUGAGACCUAUCACAGCUCAGUUGAAGAUAGACAUUUCUCCAGCCCCAGAGAAUCCACAUUACUGUCUAACUCCAGAGUUGCUGCAAGUGAAACUUUACCCUGAUAGCAGAGUACGACCAACAAGAGAGAUCCUGGAGUUUCCUGCAAGGGAUGUUUAUAUUCCAAAUACAACAUACAGAAAUCUUCUAUAUGUCUAUCCUCAAAGCCUUAAUUUUGCCAACCGUCAAGGAUCUGCUCGGAAUAUCACUGUAAAAGUCCAGUUUAUGUUUGGAGAAGAUCCAAGUAAUGCAAUGCCGGUGAUCUUUGGAAAAUCCAGCUGUGCUGAAUUUUCAAAAGAAGCAUACACAGCUGUUGUUUAUCAUAACAGAUCUCCUGAUUUUCAUGAAGAAAUCAAGGUUAAACUCCCUGCCACGUUAACUGACCACCACCAUCUGCUUUUCACUUUUUAUCAUGUCAGUUGCCAACAAAAACAAAACACUCCACUGGAAACUCCUGUUGGAUACACGUGGAUCCCAAUGCUUCAGAAUGGACGGUUGAAGACUGGUCAGUUCUGCCUCCCUGUUUCGCUGGAGAAGCCCCCACAGGCUUAUUCUGUGCUCUCUCCAGAGGUGCCCCUGCCUGGAAUGAAGUGGGUGGAUAACCAUAAGGGAGUUUUUAAUGUAGAAAUAGUUGCUGUGUCGACCAUUCAUACACAGGACCCUUACCUCGAUAAGUUUUUUGCCCUUGUUCAUGCCCUGGAUGAGCACAUGUUCCCUGUGCGGAUAGGUGACAUGAGAAUUAUGGAAAACAACUUGGAAAAUGAAUUAAAGAACAGUAUUUCAGCUUUGAAUUCAUCUCAGCUGGAGCCUGUGGUGCGAUUUCUCCAUCUCCUGCUUGACAAGCUAAUCCUUUUGGUUGUAAGACCUCCAGUUAUUGCAGGCCAAAUAGUAAAUCUGGGUCAAGCAUCUUUUGAAGCCAUGGCCUCUAUUGUAAACAGACUCCACAAAAACCUAGAAGGAAACCAAGACCAGCAUGGCAGAAACAAUCUUCUUACUUCAUAUAUUUAUUACGUGUUUCGCUUGCCAAAUACCUCUCCUAAUUCACCAACAUCAGGUUCUGGUGGCUUGGGAGGAUCAGUACAUUAUGCUACCAUGGCUCGUUCUGCUGUUAGGCCAGCAAGCCUAAACUUGAAUCGCUCCAGGAGCCUUAGUAACAGCAACCCAGACAUUUCUGGAACUCCAACUUCACCUGAUGAUGAAGUACGAUCAAUCAUUGGGAGUAAGGGCUUAGACCGCUCCAAUUCCUGGGUAAACACUGGUGCUCCAAAAGCUGCCCCAUGGGGAUCCAACCCCAGUCCAAGUGCAGAGACUACACAGGCUGCAGACAGAAGUUGUAAUCGUAUGUCUUCGCACACAGAGACGUCAAGUUUCUUACAAACAUUAACAGGACGAUUACCAACUAAAAAGCUUUUUCAUGAAGAACUGGCCUUACAAUGGGUUGUCUGCAGUGGGAAUGUACGUGAAGCAGCUCUCCAGCAAGCAUGGUUCUUCUUCGAACUUAUGGUAAAAAGUAUGGUGCAUCAUUUGUAUUUUGCUGACAAACUAGAUGCUCUGAGGAAGAAUCGUUUUCCAGAGCGCUUCAUGGAUGACAUAACUGCUCUGGUCAGCACAAUUGCCAGUGAUAUAGCCUCCCGGUUUCAGAAGGAUACCGAAAUGAUUGAGAGACUCAACACUAGUUUAGCAUUCUUUCUCAAUGAUCUACUAUCUGUCAUGGACAGAGGAUUUGUCUUUAGUCUUACUAAGGCUUACUACAAACAGGUGUCAUCCAAGCUUUAUUCCUUACCAAAUCCAAGCACUCUUGUGUCCUUGAGGCUGGAUUUCCUUCGCAUUGUCUGUAGCCAUGAGCACUACGUUACUCUGAAUUUACCAUGCAGCCUGUUGACACCCCCUGCAUCCCCUUCACCUUCGGUGUCUUCAGCGACAUCUCAGAGUUCUGGAUUCUCAACAAACGUCCAGGACCAGAAGAUUGCAAAUAUGUUUGAACUGUCUGUGCCAUUCCGCCAGCAGCACUACUUGGCAGGCCUGGUGCUUACUGAGCUGGCUGUCAUUUUGGACCCUGAUGCAGAAGGUUUAUUUGGAUUGCAUAAGAAAGUCAUCAAUAUGGUACACAACUUGCUAUCCAGCCAUGACUCCGACCCACGGUACUCUGACCCACAGGUAAAGGCCAGAGUGGCUACACUGUACCUGCCUCUGAUUGGAGUGAUCAUGGAGAGUGUGCCCCAGCUAUAUGAUUUUACAGAAAAUCAUAAUCAGCGUGGAAGGCCUAGCUGUACAGUGGUGGAGGACUAUGAAAAUGAGGGUGGCAGUAUGAUAAGCCAAACAGUUGCCAUGGCUAUCGCAGGAACCUCCGUCCCACAGCUCACCCGGCCCAGCAGUUUUCUCCUCACAUCAUCGACUUGCAGGCAGCACUCGACAUUUUCGGCUGAGUCAAGUCGGAACCUUCUAAUCUGUCUAUUGUGGGUCCUGAAGAAUGCCGACGAAAGUAUUCUGCAGAAAUGGUUCACAGACCUAUCUGUGCUGCAGCUUAAUCGCUUGUUGGAUUUGCUGUAUCUAUGUGUUUCCUGCUUUGAAUACAAGGGUAAGAAGGUGUUUGAAAGAAUGAACAGCUUGACGUUUAAGAAGUCAAAAGAUAUGAGAGCAAAACUUGAAGAGGCUAUACUGGGGAGCAUUGGGGCACGGCAAGAAAUGGUACGGCGAAGCAGGGGACAGCUGGAAAGAAGUCCUUCUGGGAGUGCCUUUGGAAGUCAAGAGAACUUGAGAUGGAGAAAGGAUAUGACUCACUGGCGACAGAAUACAGAAAAACUUGACAAAAGCCACAAACCAGCCAGAUCACGGGCUGAGAUAGAACAUGAGGCGCUUAUUGAUGGCAACUUGGCAACUGAAGCAAAUUUGAUAAUUUUGGAUACCUUGGAGAUAAUAGUUCAGACAGUCUCUGUGACAGAGUCCAAAGAAAGUAUUCUUGGUGGAGUGCUGAAGGCUCUUUUGCACAGCAUGGCUUGCAAUCAGAGUGCUCUUUAUCUACAACACUGUUUUGCUACUCAAAGGGCCUUGGUCUCAAAGUUCCCAGAACUGCUGUUCGAGGAAGAGACCGAGCAGUGUGCUGACUUAUGCCUCCGACUCCUGCGCCACUGUAGCAGUAGCAUUGGCACCAUACGCUCACAUGCCAGUGCCUCUCUAUACCUCCUUAUGAGGCAAAACUUUGAGAUUGGCAAUAACUUUGCCAGAGUGAAAAUGCAGGUGACCAUGUCACUCUCAUCCUUAGUGGGAACAUCUCAGAAUUUUAAUGAGGAGUUUCUGAGACGUUCUCUGAAGACCAUUUUGACCUAUGCUGAAGAGGAUUUGGAAUUAAGGGAGACAACAUUCCCUGAUCAGGUUCAAGAUCUUGUGUUCAACCUCCAUAUGAUUCUGUGUGAUACAGUUAAAAUGAAGGAGCACCAAGAAGACCCAGAGAUGCUGAUUGACUUGAUGUACAGAAUUGCCAAGGGUUACCAGAAUUCCCCAGACCUACGACUAACCUGGCUACAGAACAUGGCUGGAAAACACUCAGAGAGGAGCAACCAUGCAGAAUCUGCACAGUGUUUGGUUCACUCUGCAGCGCUUGUGGCUGAAUACUUAAGCAUGCUCGAGGAUCGGAAAUAUCUCCCUGUAGGAUGUGUUACAUUUCAGAACAUCUCCUCAAAUGUUCUUGAAGAAUCUGCUGUUUCUGAUGAUGUUGUAUCACCAGAUGAAGAAGGGAUAUGCUCUGGAAAGUAUUUUACUGAAGCAGGUCUGGUUGGAUUGCUGGAGCAAGCUGCGGCUUCUUUCUCCAUGGCUGGCAUGUAUGAAGCAGUCAACGAGGUUUACAAAAUCCUUAUUCCAAUUCAUGAAGCUAACAGAGAUGCCAAGAAACUAGCCACAAUUCAUGGUAAACUCCAGGAAGCAUUCAGCAAAAUAGUUCAUCAGAGUACUGGCUGGGAGCGGAUGUUUGGUACAUACUUCCGUGUUGGUUUUUAUGGGACUAAAUUUGGAGACCUGGAUGAACAAGAGUUUGUUUACAAGGAACCAGCUAUAACAAAACUGGCUGAAAUUUCUCAUCGGUUAGAGGGAUUUUAUGGAGAAAGGUUUGGAGAAGAUGUUGUUGAAGUUAUUAAGGACUCUAACCCUGUUGACAAAUGUAAAUUAGAUGCCAACAAGGCCUAUAUACAAAUAACUUACGUGGAGCCUUACUUUGACACAUAUGAAAUGAAGGACAGGAUAACCUAUUUUGACAAAAACUACAACUUGCGGCGAUUCAUGUACUGUACUCCCUUCACAUUGGAUGGCAGAGCUCAUGGUGAACUGCAUGAACAGUUCAAGAGGAAGACAAUCUUAACGACGUCACAUGCGUUCCCUUACAUUAAAACCAGGAUUAAUGUCAUUCACAAGGAGGAGAUAAUAUUGACACCAAUUGAAGUUGCCAUCGAGGAUAUGCAGAAAAAAACCCAAGAACUAGCUUUUGCAACACAUCAAGACCCAGCAGAUCCCAAGAUGCUCCAGAUGGUGCUUCAGGGUUCAGUAGGCACAACAGUAAAUCAGGGACCACUAGAGGUUGCACAAGUUUUCUUGUCUGAAAUACCCAACGAUCCUAAACUCUUCCGUCACCAUAAUAAACUACGGCUUUGUUUCAAAGACUUUACAAAAAGGUGUGAAGACGCACUGCGCAAGAACAAAAGCCUGAUUGGGUCAGAUCAAAAAGAGUAUCAGCGAGAGCUUGAAAGAAAUUAUCACCGUCUCAAGGAAGCACUUCAGCCCCUGAUCAAUAGAAAAAUCCCCCAGUUAUACAAGGCUGUCCUUCCUGCUCCUUGCCACAGGUGCAGCAUGAAAUGAAAAUGUGGCUUCCCAAUACACAAAUUUAAGGUUUGGUUUUCUGGGAGAAAUUUCGGGCAGUAUUCAACCCUACUGGGAGGAAGGGCAGGAUAUAAAUCUAAUAAAUAAACAAAUAAUAAAUAAAUAAACUCGUCCCAUCAGUGCAAGGAUUUCUACUUGCACAAUGGGACUUUCUCCUCUCCCUUUGUGCACCCUUAGGGGAACCCCUGAAACAGAUUUAGGGAGCACACAGGGAGGGGGGAAGUCCUGUUGCGCUAGCAGUAAUGCUACAUUGGAUACGACCCUUAAUUUUGUGCUGAUGACUAUAACACUAGCAGACAAACUGCUUUUCUAGGUCAGAACAGUGGUUCAUCUACACUACCCAUGAUAUACUAAAAUGAAGCACUUCAAAGUCUCAUUUAUUUCAGUGGAGCAGUUAACUAUAUGCUGAAAUCCCUUCCAGUUGUCAGUGAAUAGUUUUAACUGGAUGGUGUCCAUCAUCUCUGACAGUGGAAACUGAAGGAAAAGUAUACAACUGAUGGGCCCAUUGAAUUCUUGAUUCUCUGUUUGCAGCUUCUAGCAGAACUGGGUGAACUGUGUUGACAUUCCAUUUGAGGCAAAUUUGCACAAAUUCUUAGAACCACUGAACCCACAUGCGCCCCAUGUAGCAGUCCUUGUCAUGAUUAAUGCACUAGCUUGGGACUAGUUAAUUUCAUAGAGCAAAUGUAAACACUUUGUGUAGCAGAAUGUUAUUCACCACCAGAGAGCAUGACUGUGUCAUUCACAGCUUAGAAAGGAGUAGCUUAUCUCAUUGUUUUUUCCUCCCCAGAGAUUCCUUCAGCAGAAUGAGCCUUCGCAAAAUGGACAUCUAAGCACCUUAAAAGGCACUUAAGAGUUUUAAGGCUUUUAACCUCUGACCAAAAGAGGUGGAAGAGAGGAUUCAGAAAACACCAUGUUGCUCGCAGCCUGGCCUGACCUGGGGAACUACCUUCCUUUACCCCCGCCUUCCUCAGUUCUUUCAAGCUACAACUAGUGCAAAAUGCGGCGGCCAGAUUGCUGACAAGGACCAAGCGGUCCGAGCAUAUAACACCUGUUCUGGCCAGCUUGCACUGGUUGCCAAUAUGUUUCCAGGCUAGAUUCAAAGUGUUGGUAUUAACCUAUAAAGCCUUAUACGGUGCGGGACCAUGAUACCUUGCAGAACGCCUCUUCCGAUAUGAACCGGCCUGUGCACUACGUUCUGCUACGAAGGCCCUCCUCCGGGUUCCAACUCACAGGGAGGCCCGGAGGGUGAUGACAAGAUCUAGGGCCUUCUCAGUGGUGGCCCCCGAACUAUGGAACAGUCUCCCCGAGGAAGUACGCCUGGCGCCGACUCUGCUCUCCUUCCGGCGCCAGGUCAAAACCUUCCUAUUCUCUGAAGCAUUUUAAGUUACACUGAUUUACUUUUAAAAAUGUUUAUGGUAUUGGAUUGAUG